CCGUAGCUCAAUUGGCAGAGCACCUGAUUUGUAAUCUGGAGGUUACCGGUUCGAUUCCGGUCGGU
rnacentral:tRNA from 1 species